CCCAAAUGCCCAAAAAUAGAUGACUGGAUCAAGAAGAUGUGGUCCAUAUACACCAUGGAAUAUCACUCAGCAUUCAAAAAAGAUAAACUCAUGCCAUUUGCAGCAACAUGGAUGGAGCUGGAAGGGAUCAUGCUCAGCGAAAUAAGCCAGAAAGAAGACGAAAAACACUGGAUGGUCUCACUCAUAGCAGGAAUUUAGAAACCAGCAAAGCACCUGUAGUCCAUGACCUUAGUCUAUCCUUUGCACUUGUUUUCUUCACGUUGUAUAGAAGAAACGGAUUAAGUAGAAGAAGCCAUACAUUUCUGGGCAUUAAAGAAUAGUUUGUGUGGUUGUUCAGAAUCAUCUUGGAAGGUGCAGUGAUUUAUCUCUCCAUAUCCUCCAGAUAUUUCUUAGCUCGUAAGUGUCUUCUAGUACCACCGUCUCUUCUCCCAUCAGCAUACACUCUGUUUGCCUUCCUUGCUCCUAGAAGCUGCCCAAGGACAUAUGACAAUAUUCUAAGAUCUUUCCAGGCCCUCCAUGGAUGGCAGUGGUUUCAUAUCACGCUUAAACAAUCUCCUGAGGUUGUGACCUGAGAGAUCCUGGCUUGGGGGAUCGUCCACAGACCACGGCUGUACUCCAUGCUCCGACCUGAUGCUCUCCUCAGGAUCGGGAACACAAUGCCCUAGGGACACCAGGUGACUGCAGGUCUCCAGCAUCACAUCCCGGUACAGGGUCCUCCGAGCUUCACUCAGGCACUGCUACUCCUCCCAGGUGAAGUUCACAGCCACGUCUUCAAAUGACACCGUCCCUUCUGAGGGAACAUUUCUCAUCUCAGGGCCGGCAGCCUCGGGGCGCCCCAGCGCUACAUUUUACUUUUUUUAAAAAGAUUUUUAUUUAUGCAUAGAAGAACUGUGGUGUUGGCCAGGUGUUGGGGGGGGCGGGGUGUGUGAGAGGAUUGACCAGGGACAGAGUGGUGAGUAGCACAGGCAGAUCUACUGAAAUGCACUGCUGAGGGGAGCAGAAAGAGACAAGAGAGGUCUGCUGUGCCAUGUGGGUUAGCUUCCUGGCCGGGGAUGGAACUCAUGAGGAAGUGGCUGGUGAUAGCUGGAUAGCGCUGAGACUUUAACCUCUGUGCCACCAGGGAGGCCCCAAAAUGAGCCAAAUUUAAAAGGACAAAUGUUAAAUGAUCCCACUUACAAAGUUCUGAAAACAGAGGAUUAAGAUGCUCUGAUGUUAUACCUAUUUUCAACUCAGUUUUUAAAGUCUUGUGUACAGCAGAAAUAGAGCUGUACUUCUAUACCAGAGCCUGUAAUUCAACAGCAGCACUACUUCAGGCCAGAUCAUUCUUUGCUGUGGGGCUGUCCUGUGCAUCGUAGCUUGUGUAGCACUGUACCUGGCUUUGACUAGAUGCCUGCAGCACCUCUGAUGACAAUCAGAGGUAUGUGCAGAAAACGCCACUGUCCCUUGAUAGAGGUCAUACUAAUCCCUGUGGAGAACCACUGGUCUGGACUAACUUUGCUAAUUGUUGUUUGAUGCUCAGCCACAGGAGUCUUUCCCCUAGAGAGGGUCAUUUUAUUGGCUUUACCACUUGUAUGGUAAAUAUAGUGACCUUAUGAAGUAGCAUCCUCAAGAAAAUGACAGAUUUCUAGGAUUGUGGUAUAAUGCAGUAAGACACAUUUGACAGAGAUUUAACAAAAUUCUUUAAUAAAAUUUAUAAAAAAGAAUAUUUUCAGAAUUGUUUUCCUUUCCCACCCUCAAAGAAAAUACAAAAUUAUCAGCACCCACACACAGACACUCAAAAACUACAGUGGCGUUCUCUCUACAGACCUGCAUUACUUUAAAUUACUGUAAAAUCAUGGCAAUGCCUAAAAGUGAUUGCAGAAAUGAUCCUUUUCUUCUAAAAACAGUUGACAGCGGCGCUCCUUAGAUAACCAGACAAAAAGAAUUUUGCCAAAUCAAGGUUUUCCCUCCGCAUAACCCUUCAGAGCAAUGAUUUCUUCCUUCUGCUAAAACUUGCUAAUAGUCUCAGUUUUCUCAGUUCCCAUGUACUCUCGACCAAGACUGUCCAUAGGCACAUGGAGAUUCUGCCCUUCAGAUACUAGCCAUGCAUGGCUCACGACUCCUGCUAGAAAACAUGUUUAGCUCUAGAAGAAUGAAGGAGUCUCCAGGUAGACCCACUCAACCAUCCUGUCUGCCGUGUUGCCACACCAAAGAUACCCUCUCCUGCAGUCUCCAAAGCCCACUCGUCAUGUGUUCCCCUCUCCUGUAAUAAGCCACCUUCUGGCUUUGCAGCACUUCAGGCACUGUCUUGAGCCUUGGAAUCACUCAUUUUUAUGAAAAACAGUAAAAAGUAAGUGGUAUCUGAAAGUUCAUCACAUUUUCUGGGUUAAGAGUUCAUGUUUAGAACCACAGUACCAUUUAUUGACAUUCUUAGGACAUUCCAUUCCAACUUAGAGCAAGUAAAUGGGCAGAUGCCCAUUUCAGGUUACGUGCUCAGGAGCUAGAAAAGGAAAGCUGUGAAAGCACUGGAGGACACAGUGGGCAGACCAAAGGAAAAAAAAAAUCUAAGAACGCACACUUUCUGCUCCUGACAACAACUGUCUGGGGCAAUGUAAUGGAAUUCAAAGGAAUUCUUAGUGGAUUUGAGAAGCUGAAAGACCAGUGCCGCAAUAGGAGAGGAAAAGCUUAUGUUUAUGAGCCAAUUACAGAUUGCCUACGUACAAAACAAGACGGGCAGUAGGGUAUCUUUUGGACAUUGCCACCAUGUAGCAUCCAAGCAGUAGGUCGUCAACCUUUGUAGCACAUACAGAUUACAUCUAGAAAGUAAAAAAUUCUAACUUCUUUCCCGAUCAGUCUCUCUGCCCCAGAAAUUCAAGUGAGAGGAAUUGAAAAACAUUUCUGAGCACACGAGUACAGAGACCUGGCUCUCCGCGUCUGUCUCGAGUCCUAGUCGUCCUCUCCGCCGCCGUACAUGUCGGCCAGCUUCUUGAAGCGAUUGCCCCACUCGUUCAGGUAGUCAUAGUCCUGGUCCUGGUCCGACUCUGAGGAGUUCAGAGAGCUCAGACUGGAAGCUUCGGAACCGUUUCCUUCGUAGUCAAACACCAGCAGAGAGUCGUAAGGUGGGGCUGUGGGGUCACCGUCCGCCGCCUUCAGGUUCUGGAAGAGAAGAGGACCUCUCAGUUAACGGAAUCUCAUGCCUGUCCUCUCAGGCCCACAGCUGCCUCCUGAUGCCUGAAGUACCUACACAAUGACACACCCUCCCCCUCCUUGGGGCUCCAGGAGCAGCAACCACUGCCGGGGACACCUGUAUGACACUGACACAAAGGCAGAUGUGUGUCUUCUCCCUCUAAAGCAAAAUGGUAAAUUAUAUAUAGGCAGGAGAGAGGCACCGAACCAUCAGAACGGGCAGAGCUAAAAACAAUGAGGACAGUGGUCCAGGCUACAUUUUCAGCCUGGAAAGGUCAGGAAGGACUCAAUUUUAUUUAUGUAUUUUUAUAACUCACAUUUUUAAAAUUGCAAACAUUUUGGUGAUUGAAAAACAGGCUGCAAGGGCAUGUGGAUUGAGGAAAAAACCCGACUCCAAAUACAUCUCAGAGGCACGGUUUAAAUGGGCCCUUUCAAAGAGCCCGUGGCUGGGUUACCUCCCCACUGCUAUACUUCGUGGAAUUUCUGGUGACAAUCCAGCAGCAAGCAAAAGCAGUCCCUUCCUAAAGACUCCCACAGAGCACCCACAGACCUUCAGGGAAAAAACCUGAAAAUCAGUCUAUUCUGGCACCAGUGAACAGACAGAUCAUUUUGUUGACCGUUUUCAUCAAGACCAUGUAAUGGCAAGGUCACAACAGCUUCGGGUGCACGACAGUUUGCUAGAGAAGAAAGGGAUUUGCUCUCUCUGCUGCCCUGCCUGCUGCCUGACUGGAAUACAGACUAAAGGCCUGGAAGUGUGGCAACCUCUUGUGCUUACGAAGCAACAAGCCAGAGAACAAGGAUCUGCACACUUGGAUCAGACUGCAGCACUGCCUAAUGCCUUAGCCACCACCGUUACAGUUUUCAACCUAAGAGUCGCCAGAAGAGCACUGGAAAUGCAUGGACGGAACGGUCGUGAGGAGCGGUUGCAGCUUAAAAUCCACAGUGACACAGAGCUGCUGCGGCUGUCUGCCUUGUCCUGGCCAUUGCUUCCUCCACGUUGAGAUCCCAUUAAGCUUCUCACCACAGUUUAAAAGACCCACCUGGUCUUCUUCUCCGCCUCCUUCUUCAUCAUAGUAGUAAACAUUAUCUCGGGUGUCAUCUUCAGGGGGUAGUAAGGGCUCCUUGACCACUCUUCUCCUCCGGAUGAGCAAGAGGAGCAGCAGGACUAGGACUGGGGAGGAGGAGAGAACCGUGAGGACCCAAGCGACUAUUUGCACCCCUGCCAUGCACACCAGGCCGGUGGCUCUCCCAUCCCUAAAGUUAACAUCUGCAGCAUGACAGAAUGGCGGUUCAUGUGAACUCAGGCAGCUAUUUCCCCAAAUCCAGGGGCGUGUUAUGGGCAAAGGCCCUGUGCAGGAGCAUGCUGGUGUGAGGAAGGAAAGGCGAGGUCAGUGUACGGCGAGUGAGGUGAGACAAGUGGAGACAAGGUCAGGAGGGUGCCGGCAGAGAUGGGUGGCACAUGGGCAGGACUUGGGCUUUGAGUGGUUAGAGCCACGAACAGGACUGUCAGCCUAAGUGGGGUUGAUACAAACAUAAUCAGUUAAAGGGGGUGGGCACAGCCUAUAAAAAUCAAUUUCCAAAGUUCUCAUCUGAUCUUGGGCUAUUUCUAGGAUGUCAUAAGUUGCUAAACAACAGGGAUACAUUCUGAGAAAGAUGCCACUAGGUGAUUUCACUGUGUGACUGUCCCUGAGUGUACUACACAACCCUCCCUUCCUCUUAGUCACUGACACCGGGCAUGCCCGCCCCACUGCCAAGUUUAAUUGUGUGUGUGACCACCCAGUUUAGACUGGGAACUUGCAGGCUCCCAUGGAGGCAGGAGCGUGUGCGUGUGUGUCCCCCACAUGCCGUCUCCAAGGUAGGUGCCUUCCACUCCCCGAUCAGCCUUCCUCCAGGGUGGAAUGUAGAAGCGGUGGGGAGCUCGCUUGCUCUGGCCGUGCUGCUGAGGACAGUGCCACAGGGCCUCGCUGCCUCGAGUGUGGCCAAGGUCCUGUGUGCCUAACUGAGAACUGGUAAUAAAUGUGGAAGCUGAGGCCCUACCCCAUACCUGCUGGACCAGAAUUCUCAUCCUGGUCCAGCACACAUGGUCAGUAUAUACUCGAGCUUGAUCAAUACCUUCUUGAAGGAUGAAAGCACAACUUAGUAGAAGAAUGGGGUUCUGCGUUGACUUAACAGAACAGGCUGCAUUUUGACCUUAGACCCACAAGCCAGUAAUGUUCAGUAAGAGAUGAACCUCCCAUGUUUAUAAGUCAAAGGCUGGGGAAGGCAACCUGCUGCUUGUACUUACUCAGGAAAGCGAGGAUUCCUCCAAGUAUGCCCAGGAGAGCAGGAACUUGCAAUCCAGCUUCGGCAAAUGGCACGGCACGCUUACAUUUGUUGAUGACAGGCCCUUCACAGUCACACACAUACGCAUCUAAGGUGGUCACCUGGUCUUUUCCCUGGUUAUCUGUGAGCUUGAGACUUAUUUUGUGGUCGCCCAAUUCUAAGGAUUUCUUGGGCAUCAAAAUGAUAGAUUCCUUGUCUGAAAAGAAGCAACAAAAAAUACAAUGGGGGAAGGGAAGGAAAAAGCUCAUUCUAGAAUAAAAUUACAAGGGAAUGAAAGACAUUCCAAAGUGAGUAAAGAAAACAUCUGCCUGGACUGUGAUUACUGGGCAGUGUGGCAGAGUCAGCACCCCAGAAAGGAAAGGGUUAGAAUUCCUCAAAGGUAGAAGCGGCAAGGAAACAAGUACCAAUGGCAAGGGGUGACAUCUGAAAGCUGAGAAGGGACAUUCAGAAAAGUCAUAGGGGCCAGGGAAACACAGGUGACUGAAUGGGCCGAGUUCCCACCUAACUCUUUGUACUGAACGGUCCAGUUGGCACUUGAGCCAUGGAUCAGUUCUGCUGUGAAGGGAGCCGUGUUGGGGGGAAGAUCGGGAUCAAUGAUGGUGAUGUCCUGAGGCUGAGGGUUCCUCUGGCAGAAAUCAACGUUUCGAGGUUCUGGUACGGGGGCAUUGUCAUUCACAUCAAGCAGGAAAAGGAGGAGGGUUCCCGUUCCUGUCAUAGCUGGAGAACCUAAGAGAAAAUAGGAGGAAGGUAGCAUCUUCAGGAACACGGAUGAAUCCAUAUUAGCUCCAUCAGACCAAAUUCAAUUCCGGUCUAGCUCUCCAGGGACCCAUCACCACCACGCCCACAGAGCCUGCGGUGCUGCUGUGCCUGCGGCUUCCUCGCCCCGUGUCCAUUCCCCACGUGGGCAACAAUUGGCAACAAUUAUUCAAGUUAUUCCUCACACCGCAGACACCCUCCUGCCUCCACAGAGCUGUCCUUUAAGCACCUGCCCACUACCCACUAACUAUGAAUCACUUAACCACCCAAAGAAGUCCUCGCUGUUGCCCACCAGGUUCUCCCUUUCUGAUCUUCUAUAGUUUUAAUGUCAUGAUUAGAGCAACGUCCUGCAAGUUGCUUUUCAAACAACUUCUCACACUUCUAUCUGCACCUUGUUUACAGCCUGACACCUGAGACUAGAAAGAAACUGAAGGAAGAAAAAUCAUCGGUAUUAAUAUAUUAUAGGGGAAAGAGGUCUAUAUCUCAAACCUGUUAACAGAUGUGAAUGAUGAGACUGUGUGGACUUUUUCCGUUUUUAAAAAAGGAUUAAAACAAAACAAACAAAUAAAUAAAUAAAAACAUGCCUCUGUUUAAAAAAAUAAAUAAAUAUCUUUUGUUUUACAUUUUGAAUUAGCUCAUAUUUUCUGAGAAACCUCACUCUGCAAUUAAACCUUACAACACUUUGAGUCAUGCACCAUCAUAGUAACACUUGGAGGAAUCAUUCAGAACCACCACUCCUGAGCCAUCAGAAUGCUGCAGGUCAGCAAACUAAGGACUUGUUGCCCCAGAGGAGCCCCGCUAUAUCAUCUCUUACAGGCUGUCUAGGCUGCUUUUAAGCUACAACAUGACAGAAACUGUUUGGUGGCCUCCAAGGCUAAAAUAUUACUCCCCGGUCACUUACUGAAAGUUUGCCACCCUGAGGCUUAUUGGCAUUUCUUCCACUCACGGGUAGCAGGGCAGCUGAGGCAGCAGCUAACAUUCCCUUUCUGCAAAAGCACCCUGCAAUUGGCACCCCAUCAUGGCGGGGCUUGCCCUGCUCUCUGCUUCCCAUCAGCCUACUCCCAAAUUACAGGUCUUGGAGCAGGUUUUAUUCUUUUUUUUUUCCUUUUUUUUUUUUUUUAGA